rnacentral:rRNA from 1 species
GACGAACGCUGGCGGCGUGCUUAACACAUGCAAGUCGAACGGAAAGGCCCUGCUUUUGUGGGGUGCUCGAGUGGCGAACGGGUGAGUAACACGUGAGUAACCUGCCCUUGACUUUGGGAUAACUUCAGGAAACUGGGGCUAAUACCGGAUAGGAGCUCCUGCUGCAUGGUGGGGGUUAGAAAGUUUCGGCGGUUGGGGAUGGACUCGCGGCUUAUCAGCUUGUUGGUGGGGUAGUGGCUUACCAAGGCUUUGACGGGUAGCCGGCCUGAGAGGGUGACCGGCCACAUUGGGACUGAGAUACGGCCCAGACUCCUACGGGAGGCAGCAGUGGGGAAUAUUGCACAAUGGGCGGAAGCCUGAUGCAGCAACGCCGCGUGCGGGAUGGCGGCCUUCGGGUUGUAAACCGCUUUCGCCUGUGACGAAGCGUGAGUGACGGUAAUGGGUAAAGAAGCACCGGCUAACUACGUG